CAUUAACUUGUGCUUUGGUCGAUUCGUGUCGUUUACUGUGAACAAAUUAGGGUGUUUAAAGCAGACCUCUGUUUGUAUACAUUAGCAUGGAAUAAUUAGAUAUGACUUCAGUUAUAUUUUGUUGGUGAUAACUAAAGUAAUGAUUGAUAGGAACAGUCGUGGGUAUUCGUAUGAGCAUGUCAGAGGUGAAAUUCUUGGAUUUUGAUCAGACGAACUACUGCGAAAGCAUUUACCAAGGAUGUUUUCAUUAAUCAAGAACGAAAGUUAGGGGAUCGAAGAUGAUUAGAUACCAUCGUAGUCUUAACCAUAAACUAUGCCGACUAGGGAUUGGUAGACGUUGCUUAAACGCUAUCAGUACCUCGCGAGAAAUCAAAGUCUUUG
rnacentral:rRNA from 1 species